AAAACGACUCUCGGCAACGGAUAUCUCGGCUCUCGCAUCGAUGAAGAACGUAGCGAAAUGGCGAUACUUGGUGUGAAUUGCAGAAUCCCGUGAACCAUCGAGUCUUUGAACGCAAGUUGCGCCCCAAGCCUUCUGGCCGAGGGCACGUCUGCCUGGGUGUCACAA
rnacentral:rRNA from 1 species